AUUGAACGCUGGCGGCGGGCCUAACACAUGCAAGUCGAGCGGAGCGGCGGACGGGUGAGUAAUUCCUAGGAGUCUGCCUGGUACUGGUGGAUAACGUCCGGAAACGGGAGCUAAUACCGCAUAUUCUCCGAUGAGCCUAGGUCGGAUUAGCUAGUUGGUGGGGUAAAGGCCUACCAAGGCGACGAUCCGUAACUGGUCUGAGAGGAUGAUCAGUCACACUGGAACUGAGACACGGGCCAGACUCCUACGGGAGGCAGCAGUGGGGAAUAUUGGACAAGGGGCGAAAGCCUGAUCCAGCCAUGCCGCGUGUGUGAAGAAGGUCUUCGGAUUGUAAAGCACUUUAAGUUGGGAGGCGUUACCAACAGAAUAAGCACCGGCUAACUUCGUGCCAGCAGCCGCGGUAAUAC
rnacentral:rRNA from 1 species